AGAGAACGCGGGGGGCGUCCCUAAUACAUGCAAGUAGAACGAAGAUCUCCUAGCUUGCUGGGAUGGAUUAGUGGCGCACGGGUGAGUAAUAUAUAGUUUAUCCCCCCUACACAGAGGAACAACAGUGGGAAAGGGCUGCUAAUACCUCAUACUCCUAUUUGACAUAAGUUAAAUAGAGAAAGUCUUUUCGGUGUAGGAUGAGACUAUAUCGUAUCAGCUAGUUGGUAAGGUAAUGGCUUACCAAGGCUAUGACGCGUAACUGGUCUGAGAGGAUGAUCAGUCACAUUGGAACUGAGACACGGUCCAAACUCCUACGGGAGGCAGCAGUAAGGAAUAUUGCGCAAUGGGGGAAACCCUGACGCAGCAACGCCGCGUGGAGGAUGACACUUUUCGGAGCGUAAACUCCUUUUAUCAGGAAAGAAUAAUGACGGUACCUGAUGAAUAAGCACCGGCUAACUCCGUGCCAGCAGCCGCGGUAAUACGGGGGGUGCAAGCGUUACUCGGAAUCACUGGGCGUAAAGGACGCGUAGGCGGAUUAUCAAGUCUUUUGUGAAAUCUAGUGGCUUAACCACUAAACUGCUUAGGAAACUGAUAGUCUAGAGUAGGGGAGAGGUAGAUGGAAUUCUUGGUGUAGGGGUAAAAUCCGUAGAGAUCAAGAAGAAUACCCAUUGCGAAAGCGAUCUGCUGGAACCUAACUGACGCUGAGGCGUGAAAGCGUGGGUAGCAAACAGG
rnacentral:rRNA from 1 species